CAGAGUCCUAUGAUGAGAGCGUGCACUAUCUCAGGUGACCCCUGGUGUUCUUCUAAAUACAGAGUGUAAGCCGUGGGCUCUGGGUGUGAAGGCCUCUCUCAGGCUCCCCGCCAGUGACAGCCACCUACCUGCUCCGGACGGACUUGGGAGUUGACCAGAAGGUGACUGAGCCUCUCCUUGUGUCGGCACUUUCUGCAUCUACCUCACAAGAUUGUUGUAGGAGCAACAUGGAGUAAAGGAGCCUGGAGUGCUUAGCUCCCAGGCCCUAAGAUGGGCCAGCACGCAGCCUCAAGACAGCCACUGCUGCAGUUCAUGGGGCGCUGGCCAGAGAAGAGUCCAACAGGCCUAGAUCUCUGUGAAGCCAUUUCAACAUGAAGGGAAAGCAUUGGGUUGCAUGAAAAUGCUGAUCUCUGCACCUAAGGUCUCCAGGAGCCUGGUGACUGCUUAUCUCCUAGCUCUUCUCUGACUAGCUCUAAUCAUCACACGCCCCACUGCUUCCUGCUCCCAACUCCACUGCAUCCUAUCCUCUCCCUCUUCAAAUUCUCCCCUCCCCAGGCAGCCAAGAAUCCUGUCCCCCGAGUGCCUGACAGCCAUCCUUUCCAUUUGCAGGUUUUGACUUCCCCUGUACAGCGCCUUGUCCAGAUUGACAUUGCUGAUAAUUUCCUCUUGAAAGGUCUUGGGUCAGCACCACAGGCCUGCCCACACAGCUGGGGCAGGGGUUAACCAGCCCCGGGGGUCCACCGCACGGACCGGUGGGUGCUCCUGAGAGCCGUGCCAGCCGGUAGCCCCCGUCACUCCCCUUUGCACAGGAUAAGUCCAAGGGGUUUGGGGGGACCUGAACACAGGGACCGAAGGGAGGAGGAGGGCUCUGGGAGGGGCUGCUCUCUUUUAUUCUUGCCUCCCUCCUUUUCCAUGACAUAAAUCCUGCUACCUUCAA